rnacentral:rRNA from 1 species
GAUGAACGCUGGCGGCGUGCCUAAUACAUGCAAGUCGAGCGAACAGGUGAGGAGCUUGCUCCUCUGACGUUAGCGGCGGACGGGUGAGUAACACGUGGAUAACCUACCUAUAAGACUGGGAUAACUUCGGGAAACCGGAGCUAAUACCGGAUAAUAUAUUGAACCGCGUGGGUCAAUAGUGAAAGACGGUUUUGCUGUAUCUUAUAGAUGGAUCCGCGCCGCAUGAGCUAGUUGGUAAGGUAACGGCUUACCAAGGCAACGAUGCGUAGCCGACCUGAGAGGGUGAUCGGCCACACUGGAACUGAGACACGGUCCAGACUCCUACGGGAGGCAGCAGUAGGGAAUCUUCCGCAAUGGGCGAGAGCCUGACAGAGCAACCCCGCGUGAGUGAUGAAGACCUUCCGAUCGUAAAGCUCUGUUACUAGUGAAGAACAAAUGUGUAAGUAACUAUGCACGUCUUGACGGUACCUAAUCAAAAAGCCACGGCUAACUACGUG